UGAAUACGAGAUGCUACGGCGUCGAAGCAGUCUAUGUCAUACUUCCAAGAAAAGCUUGCACUGUCAUAAACAAAUAAUGCCUGUACCAUAACCGACACAGGUGGGUAGGUAGAGUAUACUAAGGGGCGCGAGAUAACUCUCUCUAAGGAACUCGGCAAAAUGACUCCGUAACUUCGGGAGAAGGAGUGCCUUAUUUAUAAGGUUGCAAUAACAAGAUCCAAGCAACUGUUUACCAAAAACACAGGUCUCCGCUAAGUCGUAAGACGAUGUAUGGGGGCUGACGCCUGCCCAGUGCCAGAAGGUUAAAGAAGUUGGUUAGCAUCCGCGAAGCUGAUAACUGAAGCCCUGGUGAACGGCGGCCGUAACUAUAACGGUCCUAAGGUAGCGAAAUUCCUUGUCGGGUAAGUUCCGACCCGCACGAAAGGCGUAAUGAUUUGGAUACUGUCUCGGAGAGGGGCUCGGUGAAAUAGACUUGUCUGUGAAGAUGCGGACUACCUGCACCAGGACAGAAAGACCCUAUGAAGCUUUACUGUAACCUGAAAUUGAAAUCGGACUUUACUUGCGCAGUAUAGGUGGGAGGCGUUGAGAAUAUUCUUGCGGGAUUAUUGGAGCCAUCAGUGAGAUACCACUCUUGUAAUGUUAGAUUUCUAACUUUGUAUCAUUAUCUGGUCAAAGAACAGUUUCAGGCGGGCAGUUUGACUGGGGCGGUCGCCUCCUAAACGGUAACGGAGGCGCACAAAGGUUUCCUCUGAACGGGUAGAAAUCGUAUCUAGAGUGUAAAGGCAUAAGGAAGCUUGACUGUGAGACCUACAAGUCGAGCAGGGACGAAAGUCGGUCUUAGUGAUCUGACGGUGCUGAGUGGAAAGGCCGUCACUCAACGGAUAAAAGUUACUCUAAGGAUAACAGGCUGAUCUCCCCCAAGAGUUCACAUCGACGGGGAGGUUUGGCACCUCGAUGUCGGCUCAUCGCAUCCUGGGGCGGUAGUACGUCCCAAGGGUUGGGCUGUUCGCCCAUGAAAGCGGUACGCGAGCUGGGUUCAGAACGUCGUGAGACAGUUCGGUCCAUAUCCGGUGUAGGCGUUAGAAUAUUGAGAGGAGCCUUCUUUAGUACGAGAGGACCGAGAAGGACAUACCUCUGGUGUACCAGUUAUCGUGCCAACGGUAAACGCUGGGUAGCUAUGUGUGGAGUGGAUAACCGCUGAAAGCAUCUAAGUGGGAAGCCCACCUCAAGAUAAGUAUUCUC
rnacentral:rRNA from 1 species